GACGAACCGUGCAAACGUUGUUCGGAAUCACUGGGCUUAAAGGGCGCGUAGGCGGGCUCUCAAGUCGGGGGUGAAAUCGUUCGGCCCAACCGGACAAGGGCUUCCGAUACUGAGAGUCUUGAGUAUGGUAGGGGUAGAGGGAAUUCCCGGUGUAGCGGUGAAAUGCGUAGAGAUCGGGAAGAACAUCGGUGGCGAAAGCGCUCUACUGGACCGCAACUGACACUCAGGGACGAAAGCUAGGGGAGCGAAUGGG
rnacentral:rRNA from 1 species